UACGUAGGGUGCAAGCGUUGUCCGGAAUUAUUGGGCGUAAAGAGCUCGUAGGCGGUUUGUCGCGUCUGCUGUGAAAACCCGAGGCUCAACCUCGGGCCUGCAGUGGGUACGGGCAAACUAGAGUGCGGUAGGGGAGAAUGGAAUUCCUGGUGUAGCGGUGGAAUGCGCAGAUAUCAGGAGGAACACCGGUGGCGAAGGCGGGUCUCUGGGCCGAUACUGACGCUGAGGAGCGAAAGCGUGGGGAGCGAACAGG
rnacentral:rRNA from 1 species